rnacentral:rRNA from 1 species
UACGUAGGGGGCAAGCGUUGUCCGGAUUUAUUGGGCGUAAAGAGCGUGUAGGCGGUCAUGUAGGUCCGUUGUGAAAACUCGAGGCUCAACCUCGAGACGCCGAUGGAAACCAUGUGACUAGAGUCCGGAAGAGGAGAGUGGAAUUCCUGGUGUAGCGGUGAAAUGCGCAGAUAUCAGGAAGAACACCUAUGGCGAAGGCAGCUCUCUGGGACGGUACUGACGCUGAGACGCGAAAGCGUGGGGAGCGAACAGG